GAUGAACGCUGGCGGCGUGCCUAAUACAUGCAAGUCGAGCGAACGGACGAGAAGCUUGCUUCUCUGAUGUUAGCGGCGGACGGGUGAGUAACACGUGGAUAACCUACCUAUAAGACUGGGAUAACUUCGGGAAACCGGAGCUAAUACCGGAUAAUAUUUUGAACCGCAUGGUUCAAAAGUGAAAGACGGUCUUGCUGUCACUUAUAGAUGGAUCCGCGCUGCAUUAGCUAGUUGGUAAGGUAACGGCUUACCAAGGCAACGAUGCAUAGCCGACCUGAGAGGGUGAUCGGCCACACUGGAACUGAGACACGGUCCAGACUCCUACGAGAGGCAGCAGUAGGGAAUCUUCCGCAAUGGGCGAAAGCCUGACGGAGCAACGCCGCGUGAGUGAUGAAGGUCUUCGGAUCGUAAAACUCUGUUAUUAGGGAAGAACAUAUGUGUAAGUAACUGUGCACAUCUUGACGGUACCUAAUCAGGAAGCCACGGCUAACUACGUG
rnacentral:rRNA from 1 species